GUUUAGGCUGGCCUUGAACUCACCAAGUAGUCCUCCUGCCUCAGCCUCCUGAGUUCUGGAAAGCAUUUUUCAGCAGUAACUCCCCAAGACAAGAAGUCCCAGUCAUACGCUUGGAGCUGCUGCCCUAGCCUGAGCAGUACCGAGUGGAUGGACCUGUGGGAGAGAUGCCCAGAAGCCAGCAGAACCAGCUCCUGGGACCUGGGUGUCGCUUUGAGAGAGAAAGCCCAUGCAAGGACACAGAAAGUGGCCACCUAUCAGCAAUCAAGAGAGACCUGUCCAGAAAACAAACCUGGAAUCAUCUUGAUCUUGGACUUCUAGCAUCCAGAACUGUCACAAAAUAAAUAUCUAAGCUUUAAACCA